rnacentral:rRNA from 1 species
GGGGUCUGCCGGGAUGCUUUACACAUGCAGUCGAACGGCAGCGCGAGAGUAUGCUUGCUCUCUUGGCGGCGAGUGGCGGACGGGUGAGUAAUAUAUCGGAACGUGCCCAGUAGCGGGGGAUAACUACUCGAAAGAGUGGCUAAUACCGCAUACGCCCUACGGGGGAAAGGGGGGGAUCGCAAGACCUCUCACUAUUGGAGCGGCCGAUAUCGGAUUAGCUAGUUGGUGGGGUAAAGGCUCACCAAGGCAACGAUCCGUAGCUGGUUUGAGAGGACGACCAGCCACACUGGGACUGAGACACGGCCCAGACUCCUACGGGAGGCAGCAGUGGGGAAUUUUGGACAAUGGGGGAAACCCUGAUCCAGCCAUCCCGCGUGUAUGAUGAAGGCCUUCGGGUUGUAAAGUACUUUUGGCAGAGAAGAAAAGGUAUCCCCUAAUACGGGGUACUGCUGACGGUAUCUGCAGAAUAAGCACCGGCUAACUACGUGCCAGCAGCCGCGGUAAUACGUAGGGUGCAAGCGUUAAUCGGAAUUACUGGGCGUAAAGCGUGUGUAGGCGGUUCGGAAAGAAAGAUGUGAAAUCCCAGGGCUCAACCUUGGAACUGCAUUUUUAACUGCCGAGCUAGAGUAUGUCAGAGGGGGGUAGAAUUCCUCGUGUAUCAGUGAAAUGCGUACAUAUGUGGAGGAAUACCGAUGGCAAGGGCAGCCCCCUGGGAUAAUACUGAA